rnacentral:rRNA from 1 species
CCUACGGGAGGCAGCAGUGAGGAAUAUUGGUCAAUGGACGCAAGUCUGAACCAGCCAUGCCGCGUGCAGGAAGACGGCUCUAUGAGUUGUAACCUGCUUUUGUACGAGGGUAAACGCAGAUACGUGUAUCUGUCUGAAAGUAUCGUACGAAUAAGGAUCGGCUAACUCCGUGCCAGCAGCCGCGGUAAUACGGAGGGUUCAAGCGUUAUCCGGAUUUAUUGGGUUUAAAGGGUGCGUAGGCGGUCGGAUAAGUUAGAGGUGAAAUCCCGAGGCUCAACUUCGGAAUUGCCUGUGAUACUGUUCGGCUAGAGAGUAGGUGCGGUAGGCGGAAUGUAUGGUGUAGCGGUGAAAUGCUUAGAGAUCAUACAGAACACCGAUUGCGAAGGCAGCUUACCAAGCUACUUCUGACGUUGAGGCACGAAAGCGUGGGGAGCAAACAGGAUUAGAUACCCGGGUAGUC